rnacentral:rRNA from 1 species
GGUGGAAACAUCGCUACCCCGCAAGGGGGUCUAUUCGAGGUGCUGCAUGGCUGUCGUCAGCUCGUGUCGUGAGAUGUUGGUUAAGUCCCGCAACGAGCGCAACCCUUGUCCUGUGUUGCCAUCAUUCAGUUGGGAACUCGCAGGAGACCGCCAGCGAUAAGUUGGAGGAAGUGGGGAUGACGUCAAGUCCUCAUGGCCUUUAUGUCCAGGGCUACACACGUGCUACAAUGGGCGGUACAAAGCGCAGCAAACCCGCGAGGGGGAGCCAAUCGCAAAAAACCGUUCUCAGUUCGGAUUGCAGGCUGCAACUCGCCUGCAUGAAGCUGGAAUCGCUAGUAAUGGCAGAUCAGCACGCUGCCGUGAAUACGUUCCCGGGCCUUGUACACACCGCCCGUCACAUCACGAAAGUGGAUUGUACUAGAAGUCUGCAGGCUGACCCGCAAGGGGGGCAGCGGCCCAAGGUAUGAUCCAUGAUUGGGGUGAAGUCGUAACAAGGUAGGCGUAGUGCU